UACGAAGGGGGCUAGCGUUGCUCGGAAUUACUGGGCGUAAAGCGCACGUAGGCGGAUUGUUAAGUCGGGGGUGAAAUCCUGGAGCUCAACUCCAGAACUGCCUUCGAAACUGGCGAUCUUGAGUCCGGGAGAGGUGAGUGGAACUGCGAGUGUAGAGGUGAAAUUCGUAGAUAUUCGCAAGAACACCAGUGGCGAAGGCGGCUCACUGGCCCGGUACUGACGCUGAGGUGCGAAAGCCAGGGGAGCAAACGGG
rnacentral:rRNA from 1 species